GGGGGAAUAGCUCAGUGGUAGAGCGCUGGAUUCCAGUGGUUCGAUCCCCUCUUCCCUCA
rnacentral:tRNA from 1 species